CCUACGGGGAGCAGCAGUGGGGAAUAUUGGACAAUGGGCGAAAGCCUGAUCCAGCCAUGCCGCGUGUGUGAAGAAGGCCUUCGGGUUGUAAAGCACUUUCAGUGGGGAAGAAAGCCUUGGGGCUAAUACCCUCGAGGAAGGACAUCACCCACAGAAGAAGCACCGGCUAACUCCGUGCCAGCAGCCGCGGUAAUACGGAGGGUGCGAGCGUUAAUCGGAAUUACUGGGCGUAAAGCGCGCGUAGGCGGUCUGAUAAGCCGGUUGUGAAAGCCCCGGGCUCAACCUGGGAACGGCAUCCGGAACUGUCAGGCUAGAGUGCAGGAGAGGAAGGUAGAAUUCCCGGUGUAGCAGUGAAAUGCGUAGAGAUCGGGAGGAAUACCAGUGGCGAAGGCGGCCUUCUGGACUGACACUGACGCUGAGGUGCGAAAGCGUGGGUAGCAAACAGGAUUAGAUACCCUUGUAGUC
rnacentral:rRNA from 1 species